rnacentral:rRNA from 1 species
AAGAAAGCAGGAAAGGGCGCAUGGCGGAUGCCUUGGCUCACGGAGGCGAUGAAGGACGUGAUAAGCUGCGAUAAGCCCCGGGUAGGUGCAAAUGACCUUUGAUCCGGGGAUUUCCGAAUGGGACAACCCGGCAGGCUGGAGGCCUGUCAUCACCGCAGGAGCGGUGAGGCGAACGGAGGGAACUGAAACAUCUUAGUACCUCCAGGAAGAGAAAAUAAACUAAUGAUUCCCCCAGUAGCGGCGAGCGGACGGGGAAGAGCCCAAACCUGCGGCGUAGCGAUGCGCCGCGGGGGUUGUAGGACCACGCUGUCGUACUCUGAUUGUGAGGAGAAUAUACUGGAAAGUAUAAUCAUAGAGGGUGAGAGUCCCGUAUCCGAAGCAUGAGGAGGCGUAGUGGCAUCCUGAGUAACGCGGAACACGUGGAAUUCUGCGCGAAUCCGCCGGGACCAUCCGGCAAGGCUAAAUACUCCCGUGAGACCGAUAGUGUACGAGUACCGUGAGGGAAAGGUGAAAAGCACUCCGACGAGGAGAGUGAAACAGUUCCUGAAACCAUGCGCCUACAAGCGGUCGGAGCCGCGCGAGCGGUGACGGCGUGCCUUUUGCAUAAUGAACCUACGAGUUGCCAUGUCUGGCAAGGAUAAGCGUCAUGAGCCGCGUAUCCGCAGUGAAAGCGAGCCUGAACAGGGCGUCGAGUCAGACGGGGCAGACGCGAAACCAAGUGAUCUACACUUGCCCAGGCUGAAGUCCGGGUAACACCGGAUGGAGGGCCGCACGGAUAAGCGUUGAAAAGCUUCCCGAUGAGGUGAGUGUAGGAGUGAAAGGCCAAUCAAACUUGGAGAUAGCUCGUACUCCCCGAAAGGCAUUUAGGUGCCGCGUGCGGCGUUGUCCGUGAGAGGUAGAGCGACCGGUAGGUCGAGAGGGCUUCACCGCCUGUCGAGACCUGACGAACUCCGAAUGCUCUCGGAUCGCAGCCGUGCAGUAAGGGGGCGGGUGCUAAGGUCCGUCCCCGAGAGGAGAAGAAUCCAGACCGCCGUCUAAGGUCCCGGAAUUCUGCCUGAGUUAGUCUAACGAAGUCCGGUCCCCGUGACAGCUAGGAUGUUGGCUUGGAAGCAGCCAUUCAUUCAAAGAGUGCGUAACAGCUCACUAGUCGAGGGUCCGGGCGUGGAUAAUAAUCGGGUAUAAGGCAGAUACCGAAGGCGCGGGAUAGCAAUGUAUAUUGAAAGUAUCGGUAGGGGAGCAUUCCAUCGGCGUCGAAUGGUGAGGGAAACUGAUCCUGGAGCUUAUGGAAAAGCAAAUGUAGGUAUGAGUAACGAUAAAAAGGGUGGGAUUCCCUUUCGCCGAAAGACCGAGGUUUCCCGGGCGAUGCCAAUCAGCCCGGGGUCAGUCGGGUCCUAAGUCUCAGCCGAACGGCGAAGGCGAUGGCAGAUGCGGUCAACAUUCCGCAACUCGCAUUAUCAGUGACGUGGAGACGGAGCAGUGACACUGCCGCGCCCUGACGGAACAGGGCGUUUA